rnacentral:sRNA from 1 species
AAUGCUGAACUUAAGGGUUUAGAUGUAGAUUCUCUGGUCAUUGAGCAUAUCCAAGUGAACAAAGCACCUAAGAUGCGCCGCCGGACUUACAGAGCUCAUGGUCGGAUUAACCCAUACAUGAGCUCUCCCUGCCACAUUGAGAUGAUCCUUACGGAAAAGGAACAGAUUGUUCCUAAACCAGAAGAGGAGGUUGCCCAGAAGAAAAAGGUAAAUAAGUAGUUGCUCGGUUUUGUUUGUGAUAGUAGAAAGAUUUGUGGUUGCUGUGAUGACUAUCUUAGGACACCUUUGGAAUAACUAUGAAAGAAAACUAUUCUGAGCAACCCUUUCACCUGUCUUAUUUUGGCUUUUGUAAGUUUGUUUCUUGACUAAUAAUAAAUGGUAAGUUUUCUGUAAUCCCAGCA